GAUCCUGGCUCAGGAUGAACGCUAGCGGCAGGCUUAACACAUGCAAGUCGAGGGGCAGCAUAAUGGAUAGCAAUAUCUAUGGUGGCGACCGGCGCACGGGUGCGUAACGCGUAUGCAACCUACCUUUAACAGGGGGAUAACACUGNGAAAUUGGUACUAAUACCCCAUAAUAUCAUAGAAGGCAUCUUUUAUGGUUGAAAAUUCCGAUGGUUAGAGAUGGGCAUGCGUUGUAUUAG
rnacentral:rRNA from 1 species